rnacentral:rRNA from 1 species
CGACAGGCUUAACACAUGCAAGUCGAGGGGCAGCACAGGUAGUAAUACCGGGUGGCGACCGGCGCACGGGUGAGUAACGCGUAUGCAACUUGCCUAUCAGAGGGGGAUAACCCGGCGAAAGUCGGACUAAUACCGCAUGAAGCAGGGAUCCCGCAUGGGAAUAUUUGCUAAAGAUUCAUCGCUGAUAGAUAGGCAUGCGUUCCAUUAGGCAGUUGGCGGGGUAACGGCCCACCAAACCGACGAUGGAUAGGGGUUCUGAGAGGAAGGUCCCCCACAUUGGUACUGAGACACGGACCAAACUCCUACGGGAGGCAGCAGUGAGGAAUAUUGGUCAAUGGCCGAGAGGCUGAACCAGCCAAGUCGCGUGAGGGAUGAAGGUUCUAUGGAUCGUAAACCUCUUUUAUAAGGGAAUAAAGUGCGGGACGUGUCCCGUUUUGUAUGUACCUUAUGAAUAAGGAUCGGCUAACUCCGUGCCAGCAGCCGCGGUAAUACGGAGGAUCCGAGCGUUAUCCGGAUUUAUUGGGUUUAAAGGGUGCGUAGGCGGCCUUUUAAGUCAGCGGUGAAAGUCUGUGGCUCAACCAUAGAAUUGCCGUUGAAACUGGGGGGCUUGAGUAUGUUUGAGGCAGGCGGAAUGCGUGGUGUAGCGGUGAAAUGCAUAGAUAUCACGCAGAACCCCGAUUGCGAAGGCAGCCUGCCAAGCCAUGACUGACGCUGAUGCACGAAAGCGUGGGGAUCAAACAGGAUUAGAUACCCUGGUAGUCCACGCAGUAAACGAUGAUCACUAGCUGUUUGCGAUACACUGUAAGCGGCACAGCGAAAGCGUUAAGUGAUCCACCUGGGGAGUACGCCGGCAACGGUGAAACUCAAAGGAAUUGACGAGGGCCCGCACAAGCGGAGGAACAUGUGGUUUAAUUCGAUGAUACGCGAGGAACCUUACCCGGGUUUGAACGCAUUCGGACCGAGGUGGAAACACCUUUUCUAGCAAUAGCCGUUUGCGAGGUGCUGCAUGGUUGUCGUCAGCUCGUGCCGUGAGGUGUCGGCUUAAGUGCCAUAACGAGCGCAACCCUUGCCACUAGUUACUAACAGGUAAAGCUGAGGACUCUGGUGGGACUGCCAGCGUAAGCUGCGAGGAAGGCGGGGAUGACGUCAAAUCAGCACGGCCCUUACAUCCGGGGCGACACACGUGUUACAAUGGCGUGGACAAAGGGAAGCCACCUGGCGACAGGGAGCGAAUCCCCAAACCACGUCUCAGUUCGGAUCGGAGUCUGCAACCCGACUCCGUGAAGCUGGAUUCGCUAGUAAUCGCGCAUCAGCCAUGGCGCGGUGAAUACGUUCCCGGGCCUUGUACACACCGCCCGUCAAGCCAUGGGAGCCGGGGGUACCUGAAGUCCGUAACCGCGAGGAUCGGCCUAGGGUAAAACUGGUGACUGGGG